AUUUGCAUCUCUGGACACAAAUAGAGGCUCUGGCUCCACCUCCCUUGAAGUUAAUGUGGUUGGCUGUGCCUUUGUUUGCAGCCCUGUUCAUCCCUGGGCUGCUUGAAUUUUGAACUGAAAAGAAAACCUUCUGGUAUUCACUGGCACUGCUUAAAGACGGGAAACACUCCUGCACUGUGGAAGGAUCCCAGAGAGACACAUGGCUUGGAAGAGUUCCUCCUUCCUUCUGGGGAGCAUUGUCCUGAGUGUGACACCUGGAAGUUUACCAACCAGCUUACAACCCUGUGAGGAGCUGAGGGCCAGGCAGAGAGACAGAGCCAAAGGAUGAAGGCUCUGAGCCCCUGCAUUUUGCAAGCCCGAAGCUGUCUGACCUCAGCAGCUCUCGUUGGGAUGUCAGCUUCAUGACCCAGCCUGGCCUGUUCAAUGCUGGAUCCCUGGUGCAUAGAAACAUAUCUGGCUUAGAACAGCCGCUCAAGCUACACUUCUGGUUUACAUGAAUCAGACAAGGCCAUCUCUCCUGACUCUAUCACUCCUGCUAAUCACCCUCAUGUUUUAUAUUUAAAAAGUAGAGUCUGAUACGCAGGAAAUGCCAAUCCUAGGCAAUCAGGAAGUUCUUCAUGUUGGAGACCUGGUAUCUGCACAAUUUCAACAGAAAACCUUACUUUUUAGAGAGGUGGAAAUCAUAUGUGGGUCCAGUCAGAGCCUCAGGGGUUUCCAGUUUCAGUCAAACAAGGAAGUGAGGAUCAAAGAGAACCUGAUGGAUGCAGGCACUGACUCUGGCGUGAAUCAGAAUCACCUGGAACCUUGUUUCAAUAAUUCAGACGCCUGGCUCCACCGCUGAGACUCUGAUUUAAUGGGUUAACCAUGGGGCCCAGGCCUCUGAAUUGUUAACAAGCCACCCAGGUGAUUUUAACAAGCCACCUGUGUUUUGAGAAUGACCUGCCUAGGGCCUGCGGGAGGAGUCUGAAUUGAGGAAGACGGCUGGAUUCAGCUGCCCUGGGGCCGGGAGGGACAGAGGCCUGGGAGAUGGUGCCAGUCUCUGUUUGGGUACAGUUGCACCAGAUCAAGCAUGAAGAGCAAGCAGUCGGGCUUCACUGGUGGCUCAGUGGUAAAGAAUCCACCUCCCACUGCAGGAGACAUGGGUUCCAUCCCUGAUCUGGAAAGAUCCCACAGGCCUCGGAGCAACUAAGCCCUGGUGCCACAACUACUGAAUCAGUGCUCUAGAGCCCAGGAGCUGCAACUACGGAGCCCAUGUGCUGUGACUUCUGAAACCCUCGUCCCCUAGAGCCCAUGCUCUGCCAACAAAAGAAUCCACCGCAAUGAGAAGCCCCUGAACUGCAACCAAGAGUAGCCCCUGCUCUCCUGCAACUAGAGUAAAGCAUUUGCAGCAAUGAAGACCCAGCACAGACAAAAAUAAAUAAAAUUAUUAAAAGAAAAAAGAGCAAACCAUCACCACAGUUUAGGACCCGCACCCUCCAAGAGGCAGCCGAGCAUUUGACCUUUCACCCUGCGCUGUGACCUCUGUGGUCAUUUCUGGGAGAAAAUAUGGACGUGGCCUGAGUUGCUGUGAGUUCUGCUGUGGCUGGGGAGGAUGUUCAGAACAGGAGAUAGUCUGGCCUACUGCAAGUAUCUAAAAAUAGAGCCAAGCCAGCGAGAAGCCACCUGGGUAGGGACCCAGAGGCCCUUGCAGGUGAUGGAGAGGCCUCUGAGGCAUUGCAGAGACAACAGAGAGGCCUCGGAGGCGAGGAGUCCUCUGUAAGUCACAGCUUCCUUUCCACACUGCCUCUGGUAGCACCCACCGCGUCAGGCACCUACAUGACUUGACCCCAAGAAAAAGCCACUCUUCUCCAGAGCAGCCAGUCAGGCUGGCAGGGUUCGGUCUCACUGCCAUGAGUUGGGCCCCAGUGGUCCUUGGGAGCGUACCCUGGCACACCAGGAGGGCUUUGUUUUCAGUCCUAAUAGGACGGGUCCCAUGGAAUAGCUGAAGCAAGUGCUUAAAACAGAGGGCCCUGUUUCCUGCUCCCACCCUGCCCCUGGCUCACCCUGCUUUCAGCCCCACCUGCUGUCGGCCUGCCAGGAAGCAGACAACUGACUGCACCUGGGCAGAAGGGGAGACAUUAUUGCAGUGAAAGUACCCAAGACGAAAGGAGCUUAAAUAGAUGUGUAUGUCAGAAAACAGAGCUCUUGGAGGCAUGGCUGUGUGUGUGUGUGUGUGUGUAUGCACGCGUACAUGCACUUUAUCCUGGAAUAAAUUUUUAUUGAGCAUGUACCACGUUGAUGAGGAGGAAAUGGCAAUCCACUCCAGUAUUCUUGCCUGGAAAAUCCCAUGGACAGAGGAGCCUGAUGGGCUACAGUCCAUGGGGUUUCAAAGAAUUGGACAUGACUGAGCAUGCAUGCAUGCACUAUGUUGAUAGUUCCAUGCUAGGAACCAUUUGAGUCCCAAAAGAGCAUGCCUGGUCCCUGCUCCUGAAGAACUGACAAUAGAAAUCACUCGUUCACUUCCUGAGCCUGACUGUGUGCCAGGCACUAUUCUCAGUGUCUUACAAUGUCCUAACUCAUUUCUUUUUCACAGCUAUCUUCUGCAGUGGUUACAAGGUAGUCUCAAUUAUUAUUAUUCCUAUUCUAAAGAUGACACUGGGGCAGAGAGAGACUAUGCUAUUUGCCCUGGGUCACAACUUGCAAGGGAUUGAGCUGGCAUGUGAAUUGGCACCUGGAGCUGGGCCAUCACCCUGGCACUAAACUGUCCUCAAGGUGGUUGCCACAGCCUGGGGGCUAGGAAGAUGCUUCCUGAGGCCCCUUCCUCCUCCUGGGAGUUCAUGAAGUAAUGAGAUUGGUUUUGGUAUAAAAAUAGAGCCAUAGGCUCUCAAGUUUAAAGGGAACUCAAAUGGUGUGGCAUGAACAACCCAGCCAUUCUCUGGAACUUCGUAUCCAAAUAAGAGUCACCCUUUCACCUUUAGAAGUGAUGCUGUCAUGGCUCCAAACAUUCUUGGCUUUCCAGUUUUGGAGUUGCUUCCAGAUGCAGUUUUUGAGCACGACAAGAAGUCUCCAGAGAGUUACAUUAAAAAAAAAAACACAAAACUUUUUUUUUCCAAACACAGUGUUAUUCCCUACUUUAUCCUACAAAUUAUUUUCCAGACUUAACUCUGAAUACCUUUUAACUAUUUCUGAAAGUCAGAUCUGCUGUAAACUGUUCAGGGCUUUGCCACCACUGAGGUUACUCAAAAGAAUACACCAGAGGCUCUAAAAGCUAUUUCAUGGGAAAAGUUAAACAAAAUCAAACCCUCUGAGCAGUGGCAGCUUGGUUAGAGGUGGGCAGGAAGGUAUCAUCUCCUGUUGGGACCGUUGGAGGAGAGUUGGAUGCCUCAAUUACCCUUGCUGGUUAGAAAAUCAAUCUCACUGCCUUAUGGUCAUCUUUCGUCCACUCCUAGC
ensembl:lncRNA